rnacentral:lncRNA from 9 species
AGAAAACACAUCAAGUGAUUAAUCUUAUACAGGAAUAAUCUUAUGUAAUUUGAGUUUUAUGUCAGUCAUUUAGCAGCUUGUAGGAUCUCUAAGUGCUAACAGUUAGAGCUUUAGCUUGAGGAGGAGCCGGUCCAGCUCUGUAUCUGGAAUAGGGUUCCGGUCCAGCCCUGGAAGAUGUGGAUCCCAGAGGCAGGGGCUGAUGUCUCCCAGGCACGGCUGUGUCCCCUGCCCCCCCGCUGCCUGGAGCAGGGCCAGCAAUGAAACAUCGAAGAAUAGAGACUCUUAUUACUGGAACCUGAGGAAUCCUCCUCAGACUUUAAAAACAAGGGUAAUGUUUUAUCUGAGUGUUGAACAGCAUUAUCCAUGCCCUUUUGUAAUGUCUAAAUGUAGCAGUGAGACAUGGUCAUUUAUAAAAAGAAGCCCAGCCAGCCUGCCCAGAUAAUAGACCAUGGUACCAUGAAUUAGUAUUGAUUGCAUACGAAGUGCAUGAAAGAGCUGCUAUUUUACAGGCCAGCAAAGAGUAAAAGCUCAUUUUCUAGAAGGAUGGGUACCGUUAGAGAGUCCAGCCUCUGUCCAGAUGGCCUGGGCUGGACUGGCCCAGGAUCCCGCGAUCACAGCUUCAAUGUGCAACCUCCUGCCGAAACAGGAUGCGGCUCAGCAGGUCCGGGGAGAGAGCAGAUCUUCCCCAGCUAAUUGAAAUCUCAAAGUGUGCCAUGGAGGGACGUGCUUCUUGAGAAGUGAAAGGCGUCCACAUCUUCCUGAGUGUUAAUGAUCAGAACAGCAUUUCAAAAUCAAUAGAAAUAAGGGCACGGGGGAAGGUUUUACAGCGACCACGUGACCCUCCAGGUGAAAUGAUGGCUCCUGGACCAUGAGACCUUAGACCCGAGCUCUCCAUGACCUAGAGCAUUUUUUCCCAAGUGGGAAUCACAACCAGAAGACAAUUGUGUGAUGAUCAGACAGCAUUCUUCAACAUGCAGCCACCAGCUCUUCAGAUAACUCCAAAGAAGAAGUAAUUCAUGAUUUUGAUGAUGUAUUUUUUUUUUUUUAAUUUCCUCCUGGGAUGAAAACUCCUCUAUGCGUUUUUUAGCUCCAUGGGGAGAGCCGUGCAUCGCUGGAUGGAACCUGGUAGUGGCGGUGCCACACAGCAUCUGACGGGCCAGAGCGUCCCCAAGUUUAGGGGAUGAGGCGGCCUGACCACAUCCCAAGAUGUCCAGGCAAAGAAUUCUUCUCUGUAGACUGUGAUGCCUGCUCCUGCCCUGGACAGGUGGGCCAUCUGAAGCAGAUAGGAGGCCCAGCUGGUGGGAGGGGCUUCAGGGAAGUGCCAGAGAGGAGGGCUGGAGGAGGGAGAACAGAGGGCAGAGCCCUUUCUAUCUGCAGGAGGUGCUGCCACCUGCACUGAGGACCACCCAGCAUCCUGGGCUGGGACAGGACCUGUGUGGUCUGUGCCAGGCCAGCCCUGACUCUCUUCCUUGCUGUUUGAGGAGCCUCUUUCAGAAGCCAUGGGACUGGGGGAUUCUGCGGAAGCAGAAACAAACGCCCGGUGGGUUGUAGCAUCUUGGGAGACUGUGACCUCUUCCCGGUGCCCACAGUACCUUGGGAGUUUGGAGUGAAUGUCCACCACCCAGUCCCAAACAAUC